UACGGGGGGAGCAAACGUUGUUCGGAAUCACUGGGCGUAAAGGGCGCGUAGGCGGCGCGGUAAGUCGGGUGUGAAAUCUCGGAGCUUAACUCCGAAACUGCAUUCGAUACUGCCGUGCUUGAGGACUGGAGAGGAGACUGGAAUUUACGGUGUAGCGGUGAAAUGCGUAGAUAUCGUAAGGAAGACCAGUGGCGAAGGCGGGUCUCUGGGCCGAUACUGACGCUGAGGAGCGAAAGCGUGGGGAGCGAACAGG
rnacentral:rRNA from 1 species